rnacentral:misc_RNA from 1 species
GAUGAAGAACGUAGCGAAAUGCGAUAAGUAAUGUGAAUUGCAGAAUUCAGUGAAUCAUCGAAUCUUUGAACGCACAUUGCGCCCGGUAGUAUUCUGCCGGGCAUGCCUGUUCGAGCGUCAUUUCAACCAUCAAGCCCCAGCGCUUGUGUUGGGGGCCUGCGGCUGCCGCAGCCCCCUAAAAGCAGUGGCGGGCUCGCUAUCACACCGAGUGCAGUAGUUCAUCUUCUCUCCGGUCUUGUGAGGCGGGUUCCGGCCGUGAAACACCCCACUACAUUCAAGGUUGACCUCGGAUCAGGUAGGAAUACCCGCUGAACUUAAGCAUAUCAAUAAGCGGUGGA